rnacentral:rRNA from 1 species
GGCGAACGCUGGCGGUGUGCUUAACACAUGCAAGUCGAACGGUAAGGCCCUUUCGGGGGUACACGAGUGGCGAACGGGUGAGUAACACGUGAGUAACCUGCCCUCAUCUCUGGGAUAACAGUCGGAAACGGUUGCUAAUACUGGAUAUGAGCUUGCAAGGCAUCUUGUGGGUUGGAAAGAUUUUUUUUGGUUGGGGAUGGACUCGCGGCCUAUCAGCUUGUUGGUGAGGUAGUGGCUCACCAAGGCUUCGACGGGUAGCCGGCCUGAGAGGGCGACCGGCCACAUUGGGACUGAGAUACGGCCCAAACUCCUACGGGAGGCAGCAGUGGGGAAUAUUGCACAAUGGACGGAAGUCUGAUGCAGCAACGCCGCGUGCGGGAUGACGGCCUUCGGGUUGUAAACCGCUUUCAAUUGUGACGAAGCUUUUUUGUGACGGUAGCAGUAGAAGAAGCACCGGCUAACUACGU